GCCGCUUUGACGGUACGCGGUUCGUCGCCUUCCGGCAGCACUACGCGUUUACCGGCUUUACGCGCCAGCUCGGUCA
rnacentral:tRNA from 1 species